rnacentral:lncRNA from 1 species
CUAAACGACGAAUCGCCGGCUUCGUGAUCCCUUGGAUGUUGUCGCGGAGAACCUUCCUGUGCCUCUUGGCUCCUCCCUUUCCCAGUCCCUUUCCUCCCUUUCCUCGUCCAGACAUUUUUUUCUUUGCUUUUUGAAAUAAGAGAGAGGUUUUGAAGAGUGCGAUGUGUGUAGAUCUGAGGGAUGGUGUGAGGUUUUAUAUAUGAGCUAGCAUCUUUGUGUUUUCUGUUUUUUAUUUCUAAGGGAGGAUACGAACCGUUGGAUUGUUUGUUUAAUCUGACGGUUGUAAGUAUCAAUCCGCGUGAUUUUAGUUUAUUGGCUACCGUCUGGGACAGCUAUUAUCAUCGAUCCGUGUGCUUUUCAUUCAUUGGCUAACGUCUGGGGGUCGUUGGAUCUAUUGUUGAUAGAAUCUGUGAACCGUAGAUUUUACGAUAUUUGAUGAGUGGAAACGACGUCGUUAAAGGUUUUAAACCGGGAAGAUGAAUAAAAAGGCGCGGGAAAAAUCAAGACUGCAUCUACCAUUUUAGCUUGAAACAGAGACGAGUAUCAUCAUCUCCAAUAACCAUAAAGAAACACUCCUUUUAUCUCCAGUGAGAUGAAGAAACGCAUAACAAUGGAAUCGUAGUAUAACUUAUCUAGUUUUGUCCUUAGAUCAUUAAAAGCACCCAAAGACCGAAACUUGAAGAAGGAUAUGGAAUCUGAUUAAGUCUUUUUGUGUAGAUGAGGAAAAAUAAAACGCCUUUGUGAAACCAAGCAGAGAUGAACUCGGGAACGGAUGAAGCUAACAUGGUGUCGUCCCAUCAUUACUCAUUAGCUACCAAGAUUGAUCACUGCUCUUUGUGUCUUCGCCAACACACGACAGCGAAUCUGACUUUUCUUCUUCCUGUUUUUUUUUUCCGAGAGUGAGGUAGAUAGAUACGGUCCGGAGUAAACGCCUGCCUUUGGAUUCAGCCGUGGAAAGUUAAUGUUUGGUUAUAAAAUUCAUUUUUAUUUUUCAUUUUGUCGUGCUUUUCAUAAUACGUUUUUUAUUACACAAAUUAAACAACAUUUAUAUAUAUUCUUCAGAGUUUACAGUUGUUUUGCUUCAAAAUGGCAUAUAACGACUAACUUGUACGUACUUACUUCUGCAUUCUAUUUGUGGAAUCUUGAUGAUCCUGAGGCUCUGAGCAGCAAUAGCAGACGUUCCUUGUUGUAGGAACUUUAUAUAUCUUUUUAAAAAAAAUAGAGCUACCUCUUCGUCACAUGUCCUUCAUGCGUAUGUGGUAAAAGGCUACCAUAUAUUUGGAGCAUCCCAUAAUAAUCCGUAUUAUCUUUUCUUAUUUUUUGUAUUUUCUACUUAUUGUUUUACCUGACGUUAGCCCUUGUACAUGUUACUUGAAAAUAGUUUGUAACACGCCAAUUCUGAUGAUUUUUUUGGGGGCGUCACGAAUCACGUUCUCGAGGAAGAUCUUGAGAACGCCGCGAGUCUCCUCGUAGAUCAAACCGCUGAUACGCUUCACACCGCCUCUCCUCGCUAAACGACGAAUCGCCGGCUUCGUGAUCCCUUGGAUGUUGUCGCGGAGAACCUUCCUGUGCCUCUUGGCUCCUCCCUUUCCCAGUCCCUUUCCUCCCUUUCCUCGUCCAGACAUUUUUUUCUUUGCUUUUUGAAAUAAGAGAGAGGUUUUGAAGAGUGCGAUGUGUGUAGAUCUGAGGGAUGGUGUGAGGUUUUAUAUAUGAGCUAGCAUCUUUGUGUUUUCUGUUUUUUAUUUCUAAGGGAGGAUACGAACCGUUGGAUUGUUUGUUUAAUCUGACGGUUGUAAGUAUCAAUCCGCGUGAUUUUAGUUUAUUGGCUACCGUCUGGG